GGCAAGAUGGCCGAGCGGUCUAAGGCGCUGGAAUCAGGUUAACUUACCUAUCCAGUCCGAAAGGGCGCGAGUUCGAAUCUCGCUCUUGUCA